GAGGCUUUAGCUUAAUUAAAGUGUCUGAGUUGCAUUCAGGAGAUGUAUAUCAAGGUUAUACAGGUCUUC
rnacentral:tRNA from 1 species